UGCGCUCGUAGCUCAACUGGAUAGAGCAACGGAUUUCUAAUCCGUAGGUUACAGGUUCAAGUCCUGUCGGGCGUGG
rnacentral:tRNA from 1 species